ACUGAGAAAAUAUGGCGCUCAGCUAGCGGAAGAAUUGAAUCAGAUAGAAGUAAAGUACGAAGAAUUACAGAAUGAAACACAUAAAUCAAGAUGAAAAUAAAAACAGAGAGCCUUUGAAGAAAAACAUGGAACACAGGAGAGAGAACAACUGGGAGACCUACAACAACUGUUGCCUAUUAAAAAUGGGCCGUAUCUUCGAGUCAUUCUUGGAAGUGUAAAUGUGUGUCUACUGAAUAAAGAUGACAGAUUCAAGUAUAAAGAUGAGUAUAAACAGUUCAAGUUGGUUGUGAUGGCUGUUAUCUUCGUUGUCUCGUUCGUAUGUUUUGCAGUGUAUUACAGGUAAGACUUAGUUAUUUGGUAAU